CCUACGGGAGGCAGCAGUGAGGAAUAUUGGUCAAUGGGCGAGAGCCUGAACCAGCCAAGUCGCGUGAAGGAUGACGGCCCUACGGGUUGUAAACUUCUUUUGUCAGGGAGCAAUUGGUUCCACGCGUGGGCUUAGCGAUGGUCCCUGAAGACAAAGCAUGGGCUAACUCCGUACCAGCAGCCGGGGUAAUACGUAGGAUGGGGGCGUUCUCCGGUUUUAUUGGGUUAAAGGGAUGCGUAGUCGGAAGAUAAGGUCAGCGGUAAAAAUUCGGGGCUCAACCCGGUCGUGCCGUUGAAACUGGUGUUCUUGAGUGGGCGAGAGGUAGGCGGAAUGCGUGGUGUAGCGGUGAAAUGCAUAGAUAUCACGCAGAACUCCGAUUGCGAAGGCAGCAUACCGGCGCCCAACUGACGCUGAGGCACGAAAGCGUGGGUAUCGAACAGGAUUAGAUACCCGGGUAGUC
rnacentral:rRNA from 1 species